rnacentral:rRNA from 1 species
UACGUAGGCAGCGAGCGUUGUUCGGAGUUACUGGGCGUAAAGGGUGUGUAGGCGGUUCUUUUAAGUUUGGUGUGAAAUCUCCCCGGCUCAACCGGGAGGGUGCGCCGAAUACUGAGGGACUAGAGUACGGGAGAGGAAAGUGGAAUUCCUGGUGUAGCGGUGAAAUGCGUAGAUAUCAGGAGGAACACCGGUGGUGUAGACGGCUUUCUGGGACCGAA